GGGCCCGCACAAGCGGUGGAGCAUGUGGUUUAAUUCGACGCAACGCGAAGAACCUUACCUGGGCUCGAAAUGUUAUGGACCGGAGUGGAAACAUUCCUUCCCAGCAAUGGGCCGUAAUAUAGGUGCUGCAUGGCUGUCGUCAGCUCGUGUCGUGAGAUGUUGGGUUAAGUCCCGCAACGAGCGCAACCCUUACUUCCAGUUGCCAUCAUUCAGUUGGGCACUCUGGCAGAACCGCCUCGGAUAACGGGGAGGAAGGUGGGGAUGACGUCAAGUCCUCAUGGCCUUUAUGUCCAGGGCUACACACGUGCUACAAUGGCCGGUACAAACCGUCGCAAACCCGCGAGGGGGAGCUAAUCGGAAAAAGCCGGCCUCAGUUCGGAUUAGAGUCUGCAACUCGACUCUAUGAAGCUGGAAUCGCUAGUAAUCGCGGAUCAGAAUGCCGCGGUGAAUACGUUCCCGGGCCUUGUACACACCGCCCGUCACAUCACGAAAGUGGGUUGCACUAGAAGCCGGUGAGCUAACCGCAAGGAAGCAGCCGUCCAAGGUGUAAUUCAUGAUUGGGGUGAAGUCGUAACAAGGUAGCCGUAGGAGAACCUGCGGCU
rnacentral:rRNA from 1 species